rnacentral:misc_RNA from 1 species
AUAUUAACACCUAUUUUUUCACUUCGGAUUUAUAAAAUUUUUUUUACAUAAAUUAAAUGAUAACGAAAUAAAUAUUAACAGAAAAAUUAAAAUAAAAAAAAUUCUAAAAUGCCUUAUGAAAUAAACAAAAUUGGAAAAUUAUUAUCAAUUACCCGAUUUGAUUUUUUUUUUCCAGAUAUUUCUCUACUCAUGGAUGGUUACCAGCACUGGCCGCCAAGCUCUCCUCAGUAACCUAUACCUAAACGUACCCGUUACUGGUCUCAGCGAGCCACCUCCACCGCGCCGAGCAGCCAAACCUCCACCUCCAAAACUUCCAGCGCUACCACCACCACUGCCAUCAUCACUAUCGGUAACGGUUAACAAUUCUACUUCACCAUCAGCACCAUCCGGAUUAUCCUUCUCUUUAUCUUCAAAAGGUGGCGAUGAAACGAACAAGUCCUUCAAUUUCCUCCUAACUUUCUUCUUUUCCGGCGGAUCUUUCUGGAGCUCGGGCUGGUCAUCACGGCGGGGAAGCCGGCGGCGGUGAUGGUCAGCGGAGCGAGAGAGAAGCAUGCGGAGUGUCUUGCGGCGGCGGAGGUGGAUUACAGGGCUGUUAGUGGGACUUUGCGUAGGGCUUCCGGCUACUGCGCAUUGAGUGGUUAGAAGCUUGAAUUUGUGAAGGGAGGCCAUUGAAUCCGUCGAUUGCUGGGUACCAAUUGAAAAUCUGAUUAGCAGAGGAAGUGAGAUCUGAGAGAGAUUAAUGUAUUUGCCAUUUGAUUUUAAAUUCCUAAUUGAAAUUUUAUUGGAAAAAUAACAAAAACCAGUGAUGGGAAUAAGAAUAAGAGCGGGUUUGGAAUAUAUGAGGAUGGGUCUCUGUGUGGGUUGCUUUGUGUCUUCUCGGAUGCGUCUUUGGAAUUGUAAGUUCUUA